rnacentral:tRNA from 1 species
UAGGACGUGGUGUAAUAGGUAGAAUGGAGAAUUUUGAAUUCUCAGGGGUAGGUUCAAUUCCUAUAGUUCUAG